GACGAACGCUGGCGGCGUGCUUAACACAUGCAAGUCGAACGGAAAGGCCCUGCUUUUGUGGGGUGCUCGAGUGGCGAACGGGUGAGUAACACGUGAGUAACCUGCCCUUGACUUUGGGAUAACUUCAGGAAACUGGGGCUAAUACCGGAUAGGAGCUCCUGCUGCAUGGUGGGGGUUGGAAAGUUUCGGCGGUUGGGGAUGGACUCGCGGCUUAUCAGCUUGUUGGUGGGGUAGUGGCUUACCAAGGCUUUGACGGGUAGCCGGCCUGAGAGGGUGACCGGCCACCAUGGGACCGAGGUUAGGCCCCAACUCCCACCGGGGGCAGCAGUGGGGAAUAUUGCACAAUGGGCGGAAGCCUGAUGCAGCAACGCCGCGUGCGGGAUGACGGCCUUCGGGUUGUAAACCGCUUUCGCCUGUGACGAAGCGUGAGUGACGGUAAUGGGUAAAGAAGCACCGGCUAACUACGUG
rnacentral:rRNA from 1 species